rnacentral:piRNA from 1 species
CAACAAAACAAAAAACAUGUGCAAGA